rnacentral:lncRNA from 1 species
CUUACUAGUUCUGUGACACCAGAAAAGUUAUUGUGGGUUUUGGGGCCUUUCAACAUGUACAAUGGGGUAACAUGCCAGCAUCUCCUUCCUAGGGAACUCAUCAGGUGUGUAUGAGAUAAAACUUGUAAAACUCAUGGUGUGGCAUCCCACGUAGAUAACGCACACACUUAGAGAUAAAAGAAUUAUAAGGAAUGGGAGGUAGCAUAAAAUACAAUUCAAACAAGCCUGUGUCCAGCAGUGUGUUAUUGGAAAGUCACUUCCCCUCUCAGCCCCAUUUUUCAUUCUGCACCAGUAAGAGUUUCCGAUGAAAUGAAAUUCAGAUAUUGUCAUCCUCUGACAUUACUCCUUUCAGUGCCUUCUCAUUAUAUUCAGAAUCAGACCCAUGUCCUUCAUUUUGGCCUAUGUGUUGGGCAGCCUAUAGGAAGGGCUCACAACACUAAGGAGUUAGUGACUCACUUCUGACCAACAGAAUGCAACGAAAAUGAUGGGAUAACACUUCUGUCCUAGGUCACGCUGUUAUAGCAAAGAUAGACUGAGCCGCUUAUCAACAACAGAAUGUUCUUCUUCACAGUUCUGGAGGACAGAAGUUGAAGAUCAGAACGCCAGCAUGGAUGGAGUCUGGACAGAGGCUCCCUUUUCCUACAGUUGGAAUGAGGGAUGGGGAGAUUUGAUGGUGUCCUGUACAAGUUGGAUGUUAAUUUGACGUGGUGCUGCUGGAGAAGCUUGCCUGAGUCAGGCACAUUCUCAGCACGUGGUAUGUGCUGCCCCUUCAAAGCUGCAGGAGUCUCAGAAGUUAUGCUGGCUUCUAUCCACAGCUGCACUCCAGGUGGGGAAUACCUAUGGAUGCACCAGGGUGCAACUACUCAAAGACUCCAGUGUGCAGAAGGGCCCCUGCUCCAUGUUGUUCCCAUAUCCAAGCCCAAGCUCAUCUAGGACUUCAGCAAACCCAAGCUUCCCUGAAUUCCCUGCUGAGACCAAACUGAGCCCUGUGACCCACACUACUACACUGGUUAGCUGCCAGUCCCAGCCCCUGCUCCCUCCUGGGCCCCUGUCUGUACAGUUCUGAAGUCCUACAAGAAUGUUA